ensembl:snoRNA
ACUUCCUGGCACUGGACAAAGAGACAUCUCAUUGGUGGUGUUGUUCUUAUAUCAGUCAGGAGCAGAGAAGAUGACAAUCUUUUGUUUAUCCUAGCUUCAUGUAUGGGUUGGUGGCCAGAGCUGUUUCAUGCCUAGAGAAUAUAA